AGAACUAUACACGAGUUUCUUUUUUGCGAAAAUGAUUUAGAUCUAUUAUUAUCAAACUUCACCGCAAAUUACAAAGCACAUGAACGUAAUAAAAAUUACUUCAAGGUCCUAAAACCGCAUAUAUUACCAACUGGACAGAACUACUCCCACCGCCCCAUGACGUAAGACGUAUUUUGACACUAGUAUAGUGUCAAAAAAGUUCUUACAUUAUGGGACGGAACUAGCAGUGUAUAUGCAACUGAAAGGGAAAAUUAACACUGGCAAUGAACACGCACGCAGGACGCAGCAUCCCGUCGAUCAUCAGGACAUGUUGGGUUCAGUCGACGCAUGAGCUGAGGCCCAGGCAUCCCAUCCACAUGCUCCCCGUCUGCACAAAACCGCAUUCAAACAAAGAGCAGUCAGCUCCAGCUAUUCACGACAAAAAUAAAAGAAACAUUCUUUCUUUCUUGGUGGACCGUGCGAUACCUUCCUCGGCCCCCGGUGGGGGGCGAGCUCCGGCGGUGGCACCUGGUACAGGUCCCCGUCGACUGGCCGCACCACCCGCCUGGAGUCGCCGCCUUUGGCCGUCGAGCGCUCCCGGGACACGUCGCCCUCGGGCCGCCUCCUCGCCUGCUUCUUGGGCGUGGGUUUGCCCGGGGGCGGCGAGUACCUGAACCACACGUCGCUGCAGGCCUCCGGCUCCGGCGUGGCGUAGCACGCGGUCGCCGCCGCCGCAUGCGGCUCGUCGUGGUGGUAGUUGUAGUUCCACUCCCCGAACGCCGGCACGCGACGCCUCCUCGCCUUCUGCAAGCAAGACCAAACGAUAAUGAGGACUCCAAUUCUGGGUGAAGUUGCUGGCAAGGAGGCUUUCCCUAGCUCACAGCACACUUACCGCCAUCUGGUUCAGCACGGAGACCAAAUGAGCCGCCAAGAAGAAGAAGACGAACAAGAAGAAGGGAAGCUGGGGCCGGUGAGUGAGUGGGGCUACGAGGCUGAAGAGAAUGGAAUGGAACCUCCUCCAAUGGCUGGCUGGCUGGAUGUGCGUGCAUUUAUAGCGAGUAUUGGUGUGGCGUCGAAGCGAGGAAUGGGGCUCGGGACCGGCAACGUUUGGCAAGAGAGGAGAGGAGGACGGGCGGUAUGGAAGGCCGACCCUUUUCAGAAAGCCCGCUGUCGGUGUGUAGCCUCAGCUAUGGUACUCCAUCGGCGCGACACAGGGGCGCAGAUGGAGGGAGGGAGGUACUCGUCUGACUGACGCGCGAGCUUUUACUGCGACGCAGCAUCGGGGCGGGGCACCGUUUUCUGUUGUCGCCGCGCGUCGCGCCGGGUUGGCAGCUGACCAUGGAGGCCUCCUGUCGCGCCCGUGUGUGUGUUAUUUCUGCAUCAUCACCGGCUCAUUAGAAAUUUUAAAUUUUGCGACGCUGCGUGUGCGUGCCCUGCAAGCUGCCGACUCCGAGGCAAUGCGUUGACAAAUGACAAGAUGUCUUCUCUAGAAAGACGCACAGAUUAAGGAGCAUACGUGGGACUGAGGUGUUUGGUUCACGCAAGGAAACGCAAACGCAAAAAAAAAAAAGGAAACGCAAACGCAAUCGAGUUAGUGUAAAUGGAAUGGAGAAAAAUGAGAAUUUGUUUGGUUACUCUAAUCAACUGUAACGUAAUCAGCCCUACAACCGGGCCCUCCGUCCAUCCCCAUCGGCGUCACCUUUAACGCCGCCGACCUGAGCUCCAAACCAGCACAUAAACCUCCUCGUCUCCAAGUCCUCGCCAUCCCCUCCCUCGGCCUUGGCGUCCCAGCCCCCNNNNNNNNNNGGGGCAGCAGGCGAAGGACGGCGGUGGCGGUGGCUGCGGGUGCCGGAGCGGCGAGUCGCAGGAGCGUGGGUGCCAUAUCCUCACCCUAGCGGCGACUUCCUGGCUCUUUCUUUGGAUCUGUGUUGAAGAGAGAUUCUAAAUGUUACUAGGAAUGUUAAUUACAUGCCAGUACUACUAGCCAUGUACCAUCGUACCACAAGCCAAGAAAGCGCAUACACUCGGAGAGACAGAACUAUACACGAGUUUCUUUUUUGCGAAAAUGAUUUAGAUCUAUUAUUAUCAAACUUCACCGCAAAUUACAAAGCACAUGAACGUAAUAAAAAUUACUUCAAGGUCCUAAAACCGCAUAUAUUACCAACUGGACAGAACUACUCCCACCGCCCCAUGACGUAAGACGUAUUUUGACACUAGUAUAGUGUCAAAAAAGUUCUUACAUUAUGGGACGGAACUAGCAGUGUAUAUGCAACUGAAAGGGAAAAUUAACACUGGCAAUGAACACGCACGCAGGACGCAGCAUCCCGUCGAUCAUCAGGACAUGUUGGGUUCAGUCGACGCAUGAGCUGAGGCCCAGGCAUCCCAUCCACAUGCUCCCCGUCUGCACAAAACCGCAUUCAAACAAAGAGCAGUCAGCUCCAGCUAUUCACGACAAAAAUAAAAGAAACAUUCUUUCUUUCUUGGUGGACCGUGCGAUACCUUCCUCGGCCCCCGGUGGGGGGCGAGCUCCGGCGGUGGCACCUGGUACAGGUCCCCGUCGACUGGCCGCACCACCCGCCUGGAGUCGCCGCCUUUGGCCGUCGAGCGCUC
rnacentral:lncRNA from 1 species